AUAUCAAUAAGCGGAGGAAAAGAAACUAACAAGGAUUCCCCUAGUAACGGCGAGUGAACCGGGAAGAGCUCAAAUUUGAAAUCUGGCGUCCUCAGGGCGUCCGAGUUGUAAUCUAUAGAGGCGUUUUCCGUGCCGGACCGUGUCCAAGUUCCUUGGAACAGGAUAUCAAAGAGGGUGACAAUCCCGUACUUGACACGACGACCGGUGCUCUGUGAUACGUCUUCUACGAGUCGAGUUGUUUGGGAAUGCAGCUCAAAAUGGGUGGUGAGUUCCAUCUAAAGCUAUAUAUUGGCGAGAGACCGAUAGCGUACAAGUACCGUGAGGGAAAGAUGAAAAGCACUUUGGAAAGAGAGUUAAACAGUACGUGAAAUUGUUGAAAGGGAAACGAUUGAAGUCAGUCGUGACCGAGAGGCUCAGCCGGUCUGCCGGUGUAUCCCCUCGGUCGGGUCGACAUCAGUUUUGUCCGGUGGAUAAGGGCGGUAGGAAGGUGGCACCCUCGGGUGUGUUAUAGCCUGCCGUCGCAUACAUCGGGUGAGACUGAGGAACGCAGCUCGCCUUUAUGGCCGGGGUUCGCCCACGUC
rnacentral:rRNA from 1 species